GACUCAGUACCAUGCUCCCUCCCCCUCUCAUCUGGUGAUCACUCAAGAUUGGAUUGUCCUCACCCCGCUGAGCAGAACAAUCAGAGAGACAGUCCAACGAUAGAAACCUGCGACCUCAGUCUGGUGGAUGUGGAAGUGGACAGUGAGGAUGAGAGAACGGACCCACAGUCUCCUCUUUCCCCGCUCCUGUCAGACGUUCGGAGAAGUGAAGACAGAAGGGAAAAGGCUCGAGCAGCUCCUGAUCUCGCCUGCACUCGCAGCCAGUCUGCCUCAAUAUGUGAACCCGUCUCAAAAGACCUGAGUGAAGAGGGCGUUCGUUUGCGCUCCUACUCCUACUCAUAUCCAAAGAUCAGCUUCCUUGCCGCACGUCAUCCUCGGGACAACCACACAUCAGAAAUCA